rnacentral:lncRNA from 10 species
CAAGGCUGCCGGGUGUGCAGAUGUGAGGAUUAUUUCAAUGGUGAAGAAGCAUCCUGAGAGGUUACGUAGUUCAACUAAUGUCACACCAAGAGCAGGAGAGCAUCUGGGCAUUUGGACAUGGAAGGUGUGGGGCACAAGCAUCUCAUGGCCAGGGAACGGGGGAGGAGCAUCUCAGAGCUGCAUCAGAGUUCAUGCUGGUCCUAGGACAAGAGUCAAGCACACCCUGCUUUCACCAGCUGCUGGUAGCUUUCACUCAGGCCACCUCUCUUUGCCAGUCUUGACAAAUAAUUUCUUAGUGAAGCACCUAUUUCAGGCUGAGCCACAAGAUGUCAGCCUAAGCUUAGUCAUUUUGAAUUUUCCUGGCCCUUGAAACAACUACAUUUUUUCACUUUUAUGACCAAGAAAAAGUCUGAGAAGCUCACGACCCCUCAGGAUUAGGUACAGAGACCACAGCAGCUGCUUGCCCUGGGAGCUCUUCAUGCCUGUUCUCAGCCAUCUUCAGUGAAGAUUUCACAGGAUAACCCAAACUGGCUCCUUUCUGUGACACCACCCAGGGAACUGCAUUCCAAGUGUGGGUGUACACGGAUCUCCACCAUUGGUCCUUGCUCUCUCUCCUGUCCCAUCCUUUCUCCCCUUCCUCAGUUAUGCUCUGGGGCAGGUGAGUAAUCCUGCAUGCCUUCGGAGAUGUCCAUUUGGGAAUGAGAUCCUACCUUUCCUUUUCCCAGGCACCCCCAGCCUUAUGAGGGAUUCCCAUCACGUGGCUUUAGAGAUGAGAAGGCAUCUUUGCCAUGAACUCUUGCUUCAUCAGGUUGAAACUCACUCUUCCUGUGAACCCCCCACUUCUCUCUAUUCUUUCACAUGCUGGGAAGGGGACUGCAGAGACCUUUAGGGAUAGUACAGAGGAUGUGUCUCCUCGUGGCCAGCCCAGGGCAGGGACUGGACCCAGUGGUUUGCAGCCCUUUUUAGAAGGUUGGCAUUUAACUCACUUUGUCCUUAGGUUUGGUUCAUUGUCA